rnacentral:rRNA from 1 species
GACGAACGCUGGCGGCGUGCCUAAUACAUGCAAGUCGAGCGCAGGAAGCCGUCUGAAUCCUUUGGGGGGACGACGGCGGAAUGAGCGGCGGACGGGUGAGUAACACGUAAAGAACCUGCCCAUAGGUCUGGGAUAACCACGAGAAAUCGGGGCUAAUACCGGAUGUGUCAUCGGACCGCAUGGUCCGCGGAUGAAAGGCGCUCCGGCGUCCCCCAGGGAUGGCUUUGCGGUGCAUUAGCUAGUUGGUGGGGUAACGGCCCACCAAGGGGACGAUGCAUAGCCGACCUGAGAGGGUGAUCGGCCACACUGGGACUGAGACACGGCCCAGACUCCUACGGGAGGCAGCAGUAGGGAAUCUUCCACAAUGGACGAAAGUCUGAUGGAGCAACGCCGCGUGAACGAUGAAGGCUUUCGGGUCGUAAAGUUCUGUUGUAAGGGAAGAACAAGUGCCGCAGGCAAUGGCGGCACCUUGACGGUACCUUGCGAGAAAGCCACGGCUAACUACGUGCCAGCCGCCGCCGUAA